CCUUUACCUGGAGCCCGAGAGGCCACAGAGGGAAGCAAGAGGGGUCUUUGUUCCAGAGGCCUGGGACUGGCAGGGCCCAAACCUGGCACCUGCACCUGCACUCCUGCUGUCACCAAGCAAAUUGGUCUCUGCCCCUCCUACCCCACCCGAGUCCUUUAACUGGGACCCAGGCUUGAGAGAUGGGAGUGCUGCCAGCUGGGGAAUGUUGUUCAGGGGGCUGGGGUAUCAGGAGGAGACAUGAUGACUAUUCUGCCCGAGGCCAGAGGUGCUCUCUCCUGCUCCACUUGACUGUAGGCUUUGCCCUGGUGGCUUCCUGGGGCCUCCCCAGGCCCCAGAGGAAAAAGAGAGAGGGAUGGCUAGGCUGGGAGCCCUGCAGGCACAAGGCGGAUUCAGAGCCCCUGACUCUAUGGUUAUGGGUAGAUGUGGAGGGCCAGAGGCUGGGUGGCCGGGCAAGAUGCCCUCCUCCCCAGGAAAUGGGAGGAGGCUGCUACUGUUGCUGGCUUUGCCCUGGGUUUGGGAGCCCCCCGCCCUGGGCCAAAGGUCUUGAGACGGGGGAGGGUCUCUGCAAGCGGCCGAGGGCUGUGGCUCUGAGGGGCAGAGAGGGUGAGGGCACUCGUGGGCAGGGAGGUGGCCCUGGGGUCCCGGGGCAUAGGGGCGGGAGAAGCACCCACAGCUGCCGCUCAGAUGGGCCUGGCCUGGCCUCAGGGCCCCAGGCCACCACCCCCUGCUCUGCCCUUGCGCCCGGGCCCUGCUCUCCUCUAAAACUCACCCCAGGCUCCCCAUCCCAAGCCGGGUAGCCGAGGCAGCCCACAGGCUUCAGGGAGGCCCAGAGGAGGGGUUGCCGGGCUGCGGUGCCAACCCUCAUGGGGCAGGCACCAGCCACCCCCUUGGGGACAGCGCCGACAGGGGCAGGGUGGGGGCAGUGGGGUGGGGAGUCCCCCCCCCCCGGCAGAGGUCUGGGGACAAAGAGGGGACCGGGCCACCUAGCCUGAGGCGCCGCCCUCCACCCAGGGCCCUAGCGGGUUCCCCUCAGGCCCCCUCGAGGCCCACAGCACCCAGCACCCUGAGCUGCCCUCCCACCUGCUUCUUCCCCUGCUGCGGUCGCUGCAGACCUGGUCCCCAAGAAACACGGCUCUGUCUGGAGGUGGCUUCCGGGGUCCCAAUAGGACACACAAGGCUGGGGAGGCAGGCAACCCAGGCAGACCUGGCCUAGAGCACUGAGCAGGACAGAAAACGCCCUGUCCUUGUGGAGCUCACGUUCUAAAGGGGCUGCACAAGGAAGUAAACAAUAAAGUGUGCUGGAGGUGAUGGGGUAUGGAUUAAAACAAGGCAGGGAAGAGGACAGGGAGGGAUGGUAGGGCUUGGGGAAGGUGCUAUGUAGCCACACAGUGUAUCUAGCCAGAGGGCACAGCCAGUGCAAAGGUCCUGGGGCAGGGGUCUGGCUGCCACAGUUGAAGACCAGCAGCACUGAGGGACAAGGGGAGAAGGGAGUCGUGUGGCUGGGGCAGACGGAGUGAGGGAAGGGAGGCUGGGAGGUGUGGGUGGAAUGAGGCCAAAGGCGCCAUAACCUGGACCUUGUGGGGCUGAGGGAGGCCCUGACUUUCUCCCAGGGAGAUGGGAGACAGUCCAAGGCCCAAGGAGAGGUGGGGUGUCAUCUGGCCUCUGUCUCAGGCUCCCAGCUGCUGGGGGCAGAGCAGCCUAGGGGGAGGAGCAGGCAGGGAAGCUGUCACAGGCGGCUGCUGGAGAGGUGGAAAUGCAGGGAGGGUGAGCAGGGGUUGGGCCUGGCGCCGCUGCCCCAGACCCCACAGGGCCUUGGAUACAAGGGGGGGCGGGCAUCACCCACAAAGAGCCUCCCUGUCCCCAGCCCCACCCCCAGCUCCACCCCCUGACUUGAGGCAGCUGCUGGGGAGCCUGGGCCCCCGCUCACUGUGCCCUAAGUGGGGGUCGGGGCGGGAGGUCUUUCCAGUGGGCCAGUUGGGUGGGAACUGAGGGAGGGUGCAGACAGCAAGCAGACAGACCCUGUGGGGGCGGAGCAGGGGAGGGGGCAGAGGGUCAGGGCGCAGAGGGCGUCCCGCUGGGCACAGCUGCACCUGAGCCCCACUCCCCCUCCGGGCCCUGGACCUAAGCGCAGCCCCUGUGCCCGGCCCCAGCAGACGCACCCAACAUCUGCAGAAACCGACCAGGCCCCCCGUGCCCCCACUGAAGGCCAGGCCUGAAGCACGCAGCUACCUCUGCCGGGGCUGGGUGUCGGCAGGCAGGGCAGGGCCUUCGGCCCCCCAGGCGCGCCCCUCACGCUGCCACCCCUGCCCACGAGGGCCUCAGCCCAGACGGCAAACCCGGGCCAC
rnacentral:lncRNA from 1 species